GUAGCGGCGAGCGAAACGGGAAAAGCCCAAACCAACAAGCUUGCUUGUUGGGGUUGUAGGACUCCAAUAUGGUCGUUCUUUCAGAUAGUCGAAUGACUUGGAAAAGUCAGUCAAAGAGGGUAAAAACCCCGUAGACGAAAUGUGGAAGACACCUAGGAGGAUCCUGAGUACGGCGGAACACGAGAAAUUCCGUCGGAAUCCGGGAGGACCAUCUCCCAAGGCUAAAUACUCCCUAGUGACCGAUAGUGAACCAGUACCGUGAGGGAAAGGUGAAAAGCACCCCGGAAGGGGAGUGAAAUAGAACCUGAAACCGUGUGCCUACAACAAGUCAAAGCCCGUUAAUGGGUGAUGGUGUGCCUUUUGUAGAAUGAACCGGCGAGUUACGAUUGCAUGCGAGGUUAAGUUGAAGAGACGGAGCCGCAGCGAAAGCGAGUCUGAAUAGGGCGUUUGAGUAUGUAGUCGUAGACCCGAAACCAUGUGAUCUACCCAUGUCCAGGUUGAAGGUGCGGUAAAACGCACUGGAGGACCGAACCCACGUACGUUGAAAAGUGCGGGGAUGAGGUGUGGGUAGCGGAGAAAUUCCAAACGAACUUGGAGAUAGC
rnacentral:rRNA from 1 species